CCUGGCAUCUACAGGGGGAUAACUGAUGGAAACGUCAGCUAAGACCGCAUAGGUGUAGAGAUCGCAUGAACUCUAUAUGAAAAGUGCUACGGGACUGGUAGAUGAUGGACUUAUGGCGCAUUAGCUGGUUGGUAGGGUAACGGCCUACCAAGGCGACGAUGCGUAGCCGACCUGAGAGGGUGACCGGCCACACUGGGACUGAGACACGGCCCAGACUCCUACGGGAGGCAGCAGUAGGGAAUUUUCGGCAAUGGGGGAAACCCUGACCGAGCAACGCCGCGUGAAGGAAGAAGUAAUUCGUUAUGUAAACUUCUGUCAUAGAGGAAGAACGGUGGAUAUAGGGAAUGAUAUCCAAGUGACGGUACUCUAUAAGAAAGCCACGGCUAACUACGUGCCAGCAGCCGCGGUAAUACGUAGGUGGCGAGCGUUAUCCGGAAUUAUUGGGCGUAAAGAGGGAGCAGGCGGUACUAAGGGUCUGUGGUGAAAGAUCGAAGCUUAACUUCGGUAAGCCAUGGAAACCGUAGAGCUAGAGUGUGUGAGAGGAUCGUGGAAUUCCAUGUGUAGCGGUGAAAUGCGUAGAUAUAUGGAGGAACACCAGUGGCGAAGGCGACGAUCUGGCGCAUAACUGACGCUCAGUCCCGAAAGCGUGGGGAGCAAAUAGGAUUAGAUACCCUAGUAGUCCACGCCGUAAACGAUGAGUACUAAGUGUUGGGAGUCAAAUCUCAGUGCUGCAG
rnacentral:rRNA from 1 species